rnacentral:rRNA from 1 species
AAUCAACGCUGGCGGCGUGCCUCAGACAUGCAAGUCGAACGCGAAAGUUCCCUUCGGGGGGCAAGUAGAGUGGCGCACGGGUGAGUAACACGUAGGUAAUCUACCUUUGGAUGGGGAAUAACAACCGGAAACGGUUGCUAAUACCGCAUAAUGCAGCGGCACCUAAUGGUGACAGUUGUUAAAGCGGGGGAUCGAAAGACCUCGCGUCUGAAGAGGAGCCUGCGGCGGAUUAGCUAGUUGGUAAGGUAACGGCUUACCAAGGCUACGAUCCGUAGCCGGCCUGAGAGGGCGGUCGGCCACACUGACACUGACAUACGGGUCAGACUCCUACGGAGGCAGCAGUCGGGAAUUUUGGACAAUGGGCGAAAGCCUGACCCAGCAACGCCGCGUGAAGGAUGAAAUCCCUCGGGAU